GAGCCAAGACCAGCGAGCGCUAGGGUUUUGGGUCACCUCUUUUCUCCGGGUUUCCCCCUCGCUCUUCUGUUCCUGAAUUAGCUGUUUAUUUACAGCUACAAACGUGUGUGAGCCAGCAAGCCAGCUCGUGAGGCCGGGCAUUGAUCUUUACCGAGACUCAAAGCUGAAACCGAAGGAGUGCAGGGGAUUUGGGGUUCUGAGUGGGACUCAGACCCUGGGUACCGAUGGGGCUUUCUUGCCCGCUUCCCUUAUCCUCGCGACCUUGCAGGAAUCCUCAAGCUUGAGAGCCGCCGGGCCUCGGGCUUUGGAGAAAGUGGCGACCGCUGCAUCCCAGUCUUUAAAAUGAACGCAAAGAAAGGAGGCAUAUCUGAAACCUGGUCGCGUGUCAGAAGCAACCUGCCGUGAAAUCCGCUAAUGCGCCGGGACUCGCCCUCCGCGUUGCUUAGAACUGAAGCCGUUAAGUAUAACCCUUCCCUGCACCUCACACACCUCUCCAGUUUCAAGAAAUUGGUCCACAGAAGCUAAUCCUCUCACCCCUCAGAGUCUACCUAUGUGCCAAGCUUUAUUCUGGGUACUCAAAGAAGAAAAGAAGACAAAAAUAACAAAAGGUAACCACAGUCCCCCAGCAUUUGACAAUCCCUCAGAGGCCAGAGAAAAACAUCCUUUCUACACACCAGGAAAUGCUUCUGAGAGGUCAAAAACACCUUUCUUCUGACUCACCGACUACAGGAAAAGUGUUUCAGUAAAAGGUGUGAAGUAGAGGAACAGGAACAGGAGGAGGAGGAAGAAAGCGAGAUUUGGGAACCAAAGCCUAAACAAGCCACCUUUUGACAAAGCCCCUUGCUGUAUGGGCAGAGUUGAACUCCGUGUAUCCUACCCUAAUUCAGGUGGGCUCCAGGGCCUCGGCCAGGACUCUCCAUGGAGGAGGACUUCCAAGAUCAAGUCUCCGUUGACUAGAGGAAGAACAGCAUGAACAAUUUGUUUACUAAUUUCUUUCAUUUUUUAAACAAACCGUCUUUCAAGAAGAGAUGAUCAUAAGGGCAGAUCAAUCAUUUCAAUGGGAUUAAAAUAUGGUGGCAGAAACAGUUGAUCUUAGAUUAACUCAUUCUUUGGUCUAAAUGAGAGGCAAGUACUACAGGAAAGAGUUCAAAAAUAAUAAAGAAACAUGGAUUUGGCUUCUGAAGCUGGUUCACUAGAUAGAAAAUAUUUUAUGCUUGAAUGUGUCUGAAGAGAUGAUUAAAAAUAAGUUAAAUUAACGUAGUUUCGUUUUUGGCUAGUGUAUUCCCCUCCCCCGCAGAAAAGACUUUUUCCGGGCAGGGCAGGGUGCUCCAGAUUCCUAAAUGAUCAUGACCAAGUGGACAAGAAGCAGGAUCCAUAGGAGUUGUUUGGGUAGGAUGGGACCUUUUUGAUGAUGUGACCCAGCAGAUUUAGUCAGUCCCAGAACCCAGAGUUCUAGGAAGUUUCGGUGUACCCACUGACCUUGACUGACCUGGAGUGAUCUUGAGCCGUUGGUGGCUGGGACCUGGACUAAGGAGAUGAGCCCGUUUGUGCUUUAGCUGAUGGGAUUUCGG
ensembl:lncRNA